rnacentral:rRNA from 1 species
GACGAACGCUGGCGGCGUGCUUAACACAUGCAAGUCGAACGGAAAGGCCGUGCGUUCUUGGUCUUCUCGAUGGGCGAACGGGUGAGUAACAGGUGUGUAACCUGCUCUACUCUUUGGGGUGACUUCAGGAAACUGAGGUUACUCUCGUAUCGGAUACCCUGUUGCAUGGUGGGGGGUGGAUAGUCUCGGCUGGCGGGGAUGGACUCGCCGCUUAUCAGCUAGUAGGUGGGGUAGUGGCUGACCCAGGCUUUGGCGGAUAGCCGGCCUGGGAGGGUGACCGGCCACAUUGGGACUGAGAGACGGCCCAGACUCCUACGGGAGGCAGCAGUGGGGAAUAUUGCACAGUGGGCGGAAGCCUGAUGCAGAAACGCCGCGGGCGGGAUGACGGCCUUCGGGUUGUAAACCGCUUUCGCCUGUGACGAAGCGUGAGUGACGGUAAUGGGUAAAGAAGCACCGGCUAACUACGUG